rnacentral:rRNA from 1 species
UACGUAGGGGGCUAGCGUUGUCCGGAAUCAUUGGGCGUAAAGAGCGUGUAGGCGGUCCGGUAAGUCCGCUGUGAAAGUCGGGGGCUCAACCCUCGAAUGCCGGUGGAUACUGUCGGGCUAGAGUGCGGAAGAGGCGAGUGGAAUUCCUGGCGUAGCGGUGAAAUGCGCAGAUAUCAGGAGGAACACCAAUUGCGAAGGCAGCUCGCUGGGACGUAACUGACGCUGAGACGCGAAAGCGUGGGGAGCGAACAGG